rnacentral:tRNA from 1 species
UGGCUCAGAGGUGAAAGCGUCUGCCUCCAAUGCAGGAGACCUGGGUUCGAUCCCUG